GCCACCGAAACGAGCAGUAGCACAGUGAAGAAAUCGAAGAAUGGAGUGUCUGAAAUCUCCAUUCCUUUUAUCCACACCACUGGUUCACAACCCAAAGAAGAAGCCACCCCUUCCCAUUCGCAUUCGCAUUCGCUCAUGCGUCCACCGCGACCCGUGGUCUCCGCGUUCGGGGGACCCAACGAGACCGAAGCCGAGGUCAAAGAACCCAAAGAAGCCUCUCUCGGACGAUAAUGCUCGGCGCAUCAUAAAGAAGAAGGCUGCGUACCUUAGCGUUCUGCGCCGGAACCAGGGUCCCCAGGCGCAGACCCCGAAGUGGAUAAAGAGGACCCCUGAACAAAUGGUUCAGUACUUGCAGGAUGACCGUGACGGACACUUGUAUGGUAAGCACGUGGUGGCUGCAAUCAAGAAGGUUCGUUCCCUCUCUCAGAGAGUCCACGGAGACUACGACAUGAGAAUGGAAAUGGCUUCAUUUGUUGGCAAGCUCAGCUUCAAGGAGAUGUGCGUUGUGCUCAAGGAGCAAAAGGGGUGGAGGCAAGUCAGAGACUUCUUUGCUUGGAUGAAAUUGCAGCUGAGCUACCGUCCAAGUGUCAUUGUCUACACUAUAGUAUUGCGCCUAUAUGGGCAAGUUGGAAAGCUGAAACUGGCUGAAGAGAUCUUCUUGGAGAUGCUUGAUGCAGGUUGUGAGCCAGAUGAAGUUGCUUGUGGUACGAUGCUUUGUUCGUAUGCCAGAUGGGGACGCCAUAAGGCUAUGCUGUCUUUUUAUUCAGCUGUAAAAGAAAGGGGAACAAUUCUCUCUGUUGCUGUCUUCAACUUUAUGUUGUCUUCUUUGCAAAAGAAAUCACUCCAUAGAGAGGUUGUAGAGGUGUGGAAGGAUAUGGUGGAUAAAGGGGUGGUACCUAAUUAUUUUACUUAUACAGUAGUCAUCAGCUCACUUGUCAAAGAAGGGCUGCACGAAGAUGCUUUCAGGACUUUUGAUGACAUGAGGAAUAAUGGAAAUGUUCCUGAGGAAGUAACUUAUAGCCUGCUUAUAAAUUUAAAAGCUAAAAGUGGUAAUAGAGAUGAAGUGCAAAGACUGUAUGAUGAUAUGAGGUUUCGAGGGAUAAUUCCUAGUAAUUACACCUGUGCUUCACUUCUAGCUUUGUACUACAAAUAUGAGGACUACCCUAGAGCCCUCUCCCUCUUUUCAGAAAUGGUAAGGAACAAAAUUUCAGUUGACGAAGUCAUAUAUGGUUUGCUUAUAAGAAUUUAUGGAAAACUUGGUUUAUAUGAGGAUGCUCAUAAAACAUUUGAAGAGACAAAGCAGCAGGGCUUACUCACCAAUGAGAAAACAUAUUUGGCAAUGGCUCAAGUCCAUCUUACUUCAGGAAAUGUAGACAAAGCCUUGGAAGUUAUCGAACUCAUGAAGUCUAGCAACCUAUGGUUCUCCCGAUUUGCUUAUAUUGUGCUGCUGCAGUGUUAUGUGAUGAAAGAAGAUGUAGUAUCAGCUGAAGGAACAUUUUUAGCACUCUGUAAGACAGGGCUGCCUGAUGCUGGUUCUUGUAAUGAUAUGCUCAAUCUGUAUGUAGGACUUAAUUUAAUGGAAAAGGCCAAGGAGUUCAUUGUCCGAAUAAGGGAUGAUGAGACACGUUUUGACAAGGAGCUUUAUAGGACAGUUAUGAAGGUAUAUUGUAAGGAGGGAAUGGUGCCAGAAGCUGAGCAGUUGACAAAUCAGAUGGUUAAGAAUGAAUGCUUUAAAAAUGAUAAAUUCUUAAUGACAUUUUAUUGGAUUCUUUGUGAACAUAUGGGGGAUAGGCAAUCUGUUGAUAAAGAUGAUGCCGUUGAGCCUAUUGACAAAUUUAACACUUCAGCUCUUGGGCUGAUGCUCAGUUUAUUUCUGACAAAUGGCAACUUCAGCGAGACAAAAAUAUUACUGAAGCUUUUGCUGGGUAAUGCCGGGGGUUCAAAAAUUGUUAGUCAGCUCAUCAUCAGCUUGUCUAAAGAUGGAGAAAUCAGUAAAGCACAAUUGCUCAACCAUGAAUUAAGUGGGCUUGGCUGCAGAAUGGAAGAAUCCACUGUGGCUUCUUUAAUUAACCAUUAUGGAAAACAACAAAUGCUGAAACAAGCUGAAGAUAUCUUUGCAGAAUAUGUAAAUUCUCCUACAACUAGUAAACUACUGUAUAACUCCAUGAUCAAUGCAUAUGCCAAAUGUGGUAAACAAGAGAAAGCAUAUUUGCUAUACAAGCAAGCAACUGAGGAAGGGCGUGAUUUGGGUGCUGUUGGAAUUAGCAUUGCUGUAAAUUCUUUGACCAGUGGAGGAAAACAUCAGGAGGCUGAGAAUUUUAUUCACAGGAGUCUUAAAGAAAGCAUGGAGCUUGAUACUGUAGCUUACAAUACCUUUAUCAAAGCCAUGCUUGAAGCAGGCAAAUUGCGUUUUGCAACUAGCAUUUUUGAGCAUAUGUGUUCCUCAGGUGUUGCUCCAUCAAUUGAAACAUUCAACACGAUGAUAAGUGUUUAUGGGCAAAAUCAGAAGUUGGAUAGAGCAGUGGAGAUUUUCAACAAAGCUAGCUCAUCAGGUGUCUCUUUGGAUGAAAAAACAUACAUGAAUUUAAUUGGCUAUUAUGGGAAAGCUGGUAUGAUGCUUGAAGCUUCACAGUUGUUCAGUAAAAUGCAGGAAGAAGGGAUAAAACCUGGAAAGGUAAAGUUAAUUUUUUUGGCAAGAUUCUCAAGAGUCAAGAGUAUGUAAUUGUUCGUUCUUACAGGUCAGCUACAACAUUAUGAUCAAUGUAUAUGCUAGUGCUGGAAUUCUUCAUGAAGUAGAGAAACUUUUCCAGGAAAUGCAGCAACAAGGUUGUUUGCCUGACUCUUCAACAUUUCUUUCCCUUGUCCAAGCAUAUUCUAGGAGCCUGAAUUAUUCUAAAGCUGAGGAUGCUAUACGUGCUAUGCAUAGCAAAGGUGUACCACCAUCUUGUGUCCAUUUUAAUAUUUUACUCCAUGCAUUCACAAAAGCUGGGUUGAUUGAUGAAGCCAAGAGGGUUUAUGAGGAACUAUCAACUUUUGGUUUAAUUCCCGAUCCUGUAUGUUACCGAACAAUGUUGAAUGGUUACCUGAAAUGUGGAUAUGUUGAAGAAGGAAUUAACUUUUUUGAAAGUAUAUGCGAGUCAACAAAAUAUGACAGGUUCAUCAUGAGUGCAGCUGUGCAUUUUUACAAAUCGGCCGGAAAGGAAAGCAAAGCAAAUGAAAUAUUAAGCUUGAUGAACAACAUGGGGAUCCCAUUCCUCAAGAAACUUGAAGUUGGAUCAAGAGAGAGAGUGAAAACACCAUGACAUAUGAACUACUUUAGAAAUACUUGUGUUCUUGAGAAGCAAUAUGAUGAUGGAAAAGUAACAGAUAGUUAUGACCAUACAACAUACAGAUCUAAUCAAUCUGGUAAUGCUGAUGGUGGAAGACCGCAAGCUGUGUUUUAAGUUUGCUGGCAAUGAUAAUUGGAAUCUUGGUUUCAGAAAUCCUGUUACCAGUGAGUGGGAUGACCUGAUCUGCGUAUGAUUGCAGUGCAUCUCAACCAAUUGAAUCUAGAUGUGCCAAAAAAAUCUCUACACUUACUACCACCUCAUUAAAGAAGUCGAAUCAAUGAUAAACGUGCAAUUAUCGAAGUACCUGGAAAACGGAUCAAAUGACUGAAGUGUUUCGCAGGUACAUUUAGUGACAACAUUUGUUCAUGACUGAUUGACUGGCCACAGAUUUUCUUGUGUCUACCUAGAAGGGCUGGACCAUAAAAGCCACAGAAAUUACUGCAUUGGGUUCGAAUUACAUCAGAUAGCAGAGGAGGACGUGUGAAAGUGAAUCACUGAAGUAGAUUUUCUGCUUGCUAUGUAUCCAGGAUUUACAUGGGUUGUCUAUAAGUUUUUAUUAAAUAUUAUAUGGUAACACACAAAUUUAUACGUCAACAACUUUAAAUUCAUUUUUUGUAAAUAAAACAAUUAUUUAUUGUUUAUGCAUUUUUAGCUGGGUCAGCCAGUUUAGUG